GUGAGCCCUAUGGGUUCCCUGGGACUGUCUAACCACUUUGGGGGGAACAACUGUCUCAGGCAGAAACCACCUUUUAGUAGCACGUUUCCUGCCUGUGAGGUAGACGUCCCUUGCGCUAGGUCAUAGAACUGACCUGCCCAGCCCCUCCUGUCUUCCCAACUCUCCAGUCUCCUGACUAAGCAGGGGCUAGCUGGUGCAGAGGCCACGGCUGAGGCAGUCAUAACAGAAGCCAGAAUUGCACAAAGAGCCUCGGAGUCACCUGGUGGAAGUGGGAUGUGACACAGGAGCCUUCAGAAAUGGAAGACCAGAGGGGUUUUGUUUUGCUCUGUUUUUAUGAUGUGUGGUCUUGUGGUAGGAGGCUGGGGUCAGCAAGCCCUUCCAGUCCAGACUCUCCUGGUGUUCCAUGUCAAGCAUUUCCAUUUGUCCAAGUGUACAGUGGUCGCCUCUAGGACGGGGGUCUUACACUGUGCUUCAGAGGAGUCUGGAGAGUUCUUUGGUGGCCUGCCCAUGGGAGAUGGGCAUGGGGAGGAGCGGGGGCCAGGAUGCCCUUGCUGGGAUAGCCACAUCCUGACCCCCACCCCUGUUUCCUCUCACUCUGCUUUCCCAGUACAGUUCUUCUUAAAUCCAUCCAGACACAGUGAGCUGUAAUGUGUGUCCUGACGGCAGCGUGGAUGCUUCCCUGGGGGAAAAAAGGAAUGUGACUGGGCUGUGAUGAAGCGCCAGCUCCAGGGCCCCUCUCAGCCAGUGUGGUCAGGAUGUCUGGAAUGGGUACUGAAGGGGCUGAAGUUGCCUUCAGGAGGGUGUGACAGCUCCUGAAAGAGGAACUUAGCCUCAUCUCUAACUUGUACACCUGGUGGUUUAACUGUUCUGUGGACACCCAAGGGUGAAAUUGGGAAAUGGCUUUUUGCGCUUCUUCCUAAGCAGGGAAGCCACUUCAGCCGACCGUGACUGGCCACCAGGUACUAACGGUCUCCACUGCCGGUGCCUUGGGGAUAUGGAAGCAGAAGUUCUGCAGAAACGUUGGGAGGUAUUUCUGUCACAGUGGGGGAGAGGUAUUUGGGGAUUUCAUGAAGGUUAAAUAUAAAAUGUUCAUUUCCCCCUCGUUCUAAUCGUAAGCCCAGGGUGAAACUUGAAGAGGGCUACAAGCCUUUGAAGUUCCUGUGGUUGAGCAACAGUGGCUUAGUUGGAAUGUUCUAGAACAUGGACUGUAGAGCUCGAUCACUCAGUUCAGGAGAAUGCCACCGGUGGGUAACUGGUCUGUGUUUGUACCCACGAGAGUGAUGUUCUCACAGCUACAGAGAAGCCGGCACAGAGCUGAAUUCCAAAUGAGCCUUACAGAGCCAUGCGGACUUUUUACACACCUUACAUUUCUGAAUAAACCACCAUUAUUGAAGCAGUCUGUCCAAGCACUGGAUACAUUUUUCCGUACUGAUUUAAGGCAUGUGACUACAGUACGCGGCAGUGUUACUACCUGUGGCUCUCUCCCUCUAUGAGACGCUGCUGCCUCUGCCUCACUUUGGAAAUAGCUCGCCAAACGCUGCCGUGUUGGUAGCAAUUUGGCAACCCUUUGUAGGUUUACAACUGUUUCAAACAGACCUUAUGAAAAGUAUCAGUCCUUGUGAGUGUGUGUUUAACAUUUAAAGUCCUUUUGAAGCUGAUACAAUGAAUCACAAAGGGACUAAGGCGAAAGGAUUAUCUGAAGCCCUGGCAUUUGAGAUUAGCCUGGGCAAAGUAAAGAGACCACUAUCUCAACAAACAAAAUAAUCAGUAAAUGUGCAAAGGGCAUGGCCUUCACCACCAUCUCACUUUAGAACAUUUCUAUCUGCCCGCCUCCAGUCUUCGGGAUUGUCUGGUGAACAUUUCCUGUCAGUAGAAUUCCAGGGAACUGUGAUGGAGGGAACUCUCCGCCACUGGUGACGUAAACAUGAGAGAACAGAAACAACAUGGCCUAACAACAGUGUUUGACACACACUACAAGGCUGGACUUGGGGACCAACGGCCAGUGGACCUGAUUGUCACUGAAGGAGCUUAGGAACUAAGGUACGAGACCUUUAGCAGAAUCCUGAGAGGAGACAUUGCACCCUGACUCUGGUUAAGUCACCUCUGUCUGUUCAUCUGCUCGGGCUGCCAUUAUGUCCACACCUCACUGCAGCUGGGACUUCUACUUGACAAGAUGUCAGACCGUGGCUUGACAUCUAAAUGGAGCUCAAGAAUGAUGAGUGAAUAACUGGCAAAAUCCCAAGACCCUCAACAGAUAACAGGUGGAUAAUUUGCAGUCCAUUCAUAUUAUUGCAGUGUCUAUACCGCAGCCAUUAAAAUGAAUGAACUGGAUUUCAGAAUCCUGAAAUGAAUUAAUAUCACUACUGUUAAUGUUGACAGAGAAAGCCAUUUACAGAGGCGCAUGAAACGUGAUAUGACUUAGACAAAAGUGAAAUGCAGGAACAUGUUCA